GUUGUAUGGUUAAGUGAUUAAGCGUAGACGGUGGAUGCCUUGGCAGUCAGAGGCGAUGAAGGACGUAUUAACUUGCGAUAAGCCCAGAUAAGGCAGUAAAAGCCAUUUGAGUCUGGGAUUUCCGAAUGGGGAAACCCACCUGCAUAAGCAGGUNCGAGUAGGACGGGACACGUGAUAUCUUGUCUGAACAUGGGGGGACCAUCCUCCAAGGCUAAAUACUCCUGACUGACCGAUAGUGAACCAGUACCGUGAGGGAAAGGCGAAAAGAACCCCUGUGAGGGGAGUGAAAUAGAACCUGAAACCGUCUACGUACAAGCAGUGGGAGCCUCCUUUGUGGGGUGACCGCGUACCUUUUGUAUAAUGGGUCAGCGACUUAAUGUUAGUAGCAAGGUUAACCGCAUAGGGGAGCCGUAGGGAAACCGAGUCUUAACUGGGCGUCGAGUUGCUAGCAUUAGACCCGAAACCGAGUGAUCUAGCCAUGGGCAGGUUGAAGGUUGAGUAACAUCAACUGGAGGACCGAACUCACUAACGUUGAAAAGUUAGGAGAUGACCUGUGGCUAGGGGUGAAAGGCCAAUCAAACUCGGAGAUAGCUGGUUCUCCCCGAAAGCUAUUUAGGUAGCGCCUCGGACGAAUACUA
rnacentral:rRNA from 1 species